rnacentral:rRNA from 1 species
GAUGAACGCUGGCGGCGUGCCUAAUACAUGCAAGUCGAGCGAACAGACGAGGAGCUUGCUCCUCUGACGUUAGCGGCGGACGGGUGAGUAACACGUGGAUAACCUACCUAUAAGACUGGGAUAACUUCGGGAAACCGGAGCUAAUACCGGAUAAUAUAUUGAACCGCAUGGUUCAAUAGUGAAAGACGGUUUUGCUGUUACUUAUAGAUGGAUUCGCGCCGCAUUAGCUAGUUGGUAAGGUAACGGCUUACCAAGGCAACGAUGCGUAGCCGACCUGCGAGGGUGAUCGGCCACACUGGAACUGAGACACGGUCCAGACUCAUACGGGAGGCAGCAGUAGGGAAUCUUCCGCAAUGGGCGAAAGCCUGACGGAGCAACGCCGCGUGAGUGAUGAAGGUCUUCGGAUCGUAAAACUCUGUUAUUAGGGAAGAACAAAUGUGUAAGUAACUAUGCACGCCUUGACGGUACCUAAUCAGAAAGCCACGGCUAACUACGUG